CUUUAGGAAACCUCUAUAAGUAUAUAGCUGAUAGAAGUUCUCCUACCAUAUAUGCCAAAUCAAUAACAUCCCAAAACACUCAGCAUAUAAUCAGGAAAAAAAACCCUGCUUAGAGGUUUCCAAUAAGAAGAUGGCGAUAGUAUUUAAAAAUCAACACAAGGCACACCGCGACUGUAUACAGAUGGGUUUGUACAAGCCAAAAAAACCCAACAAAAAAGCUGAAUGUCACCACUGCAAACACACAAGCUCAUAUUUUUGUAUUCAAAUGUCUGCCCCAGGGAGCAAAGCAGGACAGGACCAGAGGCUCCCGAUUCCCACACACCCUUGGGCAGCUUCACACUUGCUCCAGCAAAGCACAGGCACAAUUCAGGCACAGCUCCACCAGCCCUGGCUUUGCUCCUAGCAGGAUGUUUGGCUGGUGGAUGUACACUCCAUGCUCUACCCCCUGCCCUUUUCCUUGGCUAAUAUGGAUAUGGACAUAGAAGGGAGGCAGGGGGACUACAGAUUACAGCAAUAACCCUAAUGGGGAUCAGGUGGGAAAAGCAGGAACACAGUAGGAGACACCAAAUCCCUAACAAAAUGAGGUGAAUAAAAAAG